rnacentral:rRNA from 1 species
CGAACGCUGGCGGCGUGCCUAAUACAUGCAAGUAGGACGCACAGUCUAUACCGUAGCUUGCUACACCAUAGGCUGUGAGUUGCGAACGGGUGAGUAACGCGUAGGUAACCUGCCUAUUAGAGGGGGAUAACUAUUGGAAACGAUAGCUAAUACCGCAUAACAGUAUGUAACACAUGUUAGAUGCUUGAAAGAUGCAAUUGCAUCGCUAGUAGAUGGACCUGCGUUGUAUUAGCUAGUAGGUAGGGUAAUGGCCUACCUAGGCGACGAUACAUAGCCGACCUGAGAGGGUGAUCGGCCACACUGGGACUGAGACACGGCCCAGACUCCUACGGGAGGCAGCAGUAGGGAAUCUUCGGCAAUGGGGGGAACCCUGACCGAGCAACGCCGCGUGAGUGAAGAAGGUUUUCGGAUCGUAAAGCUCUGUUGUUAAGGAAGAACGAGUGUGAGAAUGGAAAGUUC